UACGUAGGGUGCAAGCGUUAAUCGGAAUUACUGGGCGUAAAGCGUGCGCAGGCGGCUUUGCAAGACAGAUGUGAAAUCCCCGGGCUUAACCUGGGAACUGCAUUUGUGACUGCAUGGCUGGAGUGCGGCAGAGGGGGAUGGAAUUCCUGGUGUAGCGGUGAAAUGCGCAGAUAUCAGGAGGAACACCGGUGGCGAAGGCGGAUCUCUGGGCCUUACCUGACGCUCAGGCACGAAAGCUAGGGGAGCGAACAGG
rnacentral:rRNA from 1 species